rnacentral:tRNA from 1 species
GUUAAUGUAGCUUACAUAUUAAAGCAAGACACUGAAAAUGUCUAGACGAGUAUAUAUACUCCAUAAACA